rnacentral:rRNA from 1 species
GACGUAGGGCGCGAGCGUUGUCCGGAUUUAUUGGGCGUAAAGAGCUCGUAGGCGGUUUGUCGCGUCGUUCGUGAAAACCCACGGCUUAACUGUGGGCUUGCGGUCGAUACGGGCAGACUUGAGGCAUGCAGGGGAGAACGGAAUUCCUGGUGUAGCGGUGAAAUGCGCAGAUAUCAGGAGGAACACCGGUGGCGAAGGCGGUUCUCUGGGCAUGUUCUGACGCUGAGGAGCGAAAGUGUGGGGAGCGAACAGG